AAAGGAAUUGACGGGGGCCCGCACAAGCGGUGGAGCAUGUGGUUUAAUUCGAUGAUACGCGAGGAACCUUACCAGGGCUUAAAUGUGUUUUGACAGUUUAGGAAACUUUACUUUCGCAAGACAAAAUACAAGGUGCUGCAUGGUUGUCGUCAGCUCGUGCCGUGAGGUGUCAGGUUAAGUCCUAUAACGAGCGCAACCCCUGUUGUUAGUUGCCAGCGAGUCAUGUCGGGAACUCUAACAAGACUGCCGGUGUAAACCGUGAGGAAGGUGGGGAUGACGUCAAAUCAUCACGGCCCUUACGUCCUGGGCCACACACGUGCUACAAUGGCCGGUACAGAGAGCAGCCACUAUGCGAAUAGGCGCGAAUCUUCAAAACCGGUCUCAGUUCGGAUUGGAGUCUGCAACUCGACUCUAUGAAGCUGGAAUCGCUAGUAAUCGGAUAUCAGCCAUGAUCCGGUGAAUACGUUCCCGGGCCUUGUACACACCGCCCGU
rnacentral:rRNA from 1 species